rnacentral:rRNA from 1 species
GGACUACACGGGUUUCUAAUCCUGUUUGCUCCCCUAGCUUUCGUGCAUCAGCGUCAGUUAUGGUCCAGCGAGCCGCUUUCGCCACAGGUGUUCCUCCCGAUGUCUACGCAUUUCACCGCUACACCGGGAAUUCCACUCACCUCUCCCACACUCAAGCACGGCAGUUUCUAUGGCAGACUCUGAGUUGAGCCCAGAGAUUUCACCACAGACUUACCGCACCGCCUACGCACCCUUUACGCCCAAUAAUUCCGAACAACGCUUGCACCCUCUGUAUUACCGCGGCUGCUGGCAC